UUUUUUUUUCUUCUGAAAAACAACAAAUGAUGUUAGUAAAAAUAAUAAAGUCAAGUAAGCAAAUAAGCAGGCAAGCAUGUUACAAAUUUUAAAGUAUAGCAAAUAAUUGCGCGUCCUAAUAUGUAAGGGACCUCUUUGUGCCAGAGGUAGGUCUAACGUGUAUUUGAAAGAUAAAUAUGCCAUUAUAUUUCAUUCCAUUAAUGUAAAUUAAUUAAAUAUUUCUAUUUUUUGAAAAACAAUAAAUAGUAAAGUAUAACUACUGUAACCUUUUCUUUUUUGGUCAAAAGGAAGUAUAUUUCAUCAAUAGUUUAAAAGAAAGUAAAAUAUAUUUUGUCAUAAUCAUUUGAAAAUUUUUAUACAUAUCAUAGAAAGUAAGUCAUGCUCAUAUACGUGAUAAGGUGUCAUGAUUGGCACCUUAUCACAUGGUCCACAUGAUUGGCAUGUUCAGCCUUCAAAUAAUGCACAUAUACGGAUAAGGUGUCACUUGGAGUUGAAAACCCGCUUGCACAUUUAGGUAAGAUUAACUAAUGGAUUUAAUACACCUCGGAUAUUAAAUCACCUAAGACUAAAAUGAUGCAUGCUCUUAAAAGAGUUUUGGUUUAGUUCUAUCUUAGGCCGAUUAAGAGUGGGUUUUUCUAGACUGGUCUUCUCCCAAGCAGACAACUUGAGAGUGAAAAGCACGUGACUGUCGACUGCACCGCUAAUCGACUUACCCACGAACUUUCCCCUAAAAGGUAUUUUUUUGAAAAGUGCACGGCCGCAAACCACGUAACCGCUAGGUGUGUGCAUAGAGUGAGUUUUCCAAAAGUGGAGGAAGUGAAACGGGAUGACAAUUUAUAUGAAGCAAUAAGAACAAAUAAACAAUUCAUACAAUACAGUUUAUCAUAUAAAGACAAUUCAAAUAAGCAUCAUGACAAUAAAAAACACACAAAUUAAUUUUUAUUAUUAACCUAAGUUUGUUGUGGUUUAGAGCCUAGAAUCCCCAGCAGAGUCGUCAUGCUGUUAUACCCCAUUUUAACACGGGUCAAACUAGAGUAUAACAUAUUGGUUAAUUUUGAAGGUUUAAGUAAUUAAGAGAGUCGUCACUUAAUUAUUUUAAAGGUGAAUUAGAACACAUAUUUACUAAAUAAUGGUUAAAGUAACUUUGUUUUAUAUAGUAUGCUUAGUUCUAGAAAUUCUAGGUAAGGUUCAAAGGAAGGGGUAAGGCACCUUUUAAGAUCCAUUAAAAAUGAUUAACCGGCAAAACUUAAGUUAAUUAUUUAAAACUUGUUGAAACAAUGCAUUUUGACAUGGUUUAAGGGAAGACAACCUAUUAAUACGUGAUUCAACUUUAAAAUACUUUAAGUGAAUGGACAAUUGUUGAAACAUUGCUUUUUGGCAUGGUUUUAGGGAAGACAACCUAUUAUUAAUACGUGAUUCAACUUUAAAAUACUUUAAGUGAAUGGACAAAAGUUUAUAACUAAUGAAUAUGAUCACUAUAACAUUGACGUUAUAAAUGGAGCUUCAAAGACUACUUUUGUUUUCCAAGAAAGUGACUUGAUGGAAUCACUAAAAAACAACAACAACAACAUCACAGUAUAAUUCCACAAGUGAGGUCUGGGGAGGGUAGUAUGUACGCAGACCUUAUCCCUACCCGAGGGGCAGAGAGGCUGUUUCAACUCAAAGACCUUUGUUUUUAAAACUGUGUUUCAAUUUGUCCUGAUGUGAUUAAAAAGAAAUAGUUUUUCCUUGAGGUCUCAAGGACGGCAUCCUCACCACGCUAGGUGAUAAAUCUUUAAAGUCCUUAAUCAACAAAAUGCCUUACUAAAAUUAGAGUUGUAAUCCCUCAUGAAAAGAUUAAUCAUCAGUUAUAGAUAAAAACAAAACCAAGCCACCAAAAGUUAACAAAUAUAUUUAGACAGAAUGAGUAAAGAAUAAUGAAAGCCGCCAUAAGCGACCCCAAGCAAAUUUGCUUGUUUUCUUGUUAUUCGGUGACUCUAUAAGAACAUUGGAUGUGAUGAUUCCGUGCUCGGGUAUGGAGAGUCUUGCAUUAAGACUCCAUGUUAGCUUCAAGUGCACAUGCAAAAGAGAGAACAAAACAUGAAUUAGAAUGAACUUAAUUUCCGAGCAAACAUAGGAUAAAGACAUUACGAAUCAUACUAUAAACUUAUAAGCUUACAACAUAGCAGACACAUUCAUCAGGUUAGAAUGUUAUACUAUCAGAUUCAUAACACUGAUUCAAGAACAUCCUCUAACGAAGUAUUCAAGCAGAUGUUUUCUAUUAUUCUCAUUUAGAACUUAAGAUGGGGCAAUUAAAAGUUAAGCAGGGUACCUAAGGCAUGCUGUACUAAGUAAGCAAAUAAAUCUUAUAUGAUGAGAAAAUGAGUGAAUAAAUCUUAGAUGCAGUAUGUAUGUCAUUAUCAUAAUGCAAAUAAGCAUCUCUACUUCAUUGUGACAGAGAAGGCAUCAAGGAUAGUAUAGCUUGCUUAGUUUGGUCUAGCUAUUAAUACAUAAAAAUGUAUCUUAGGGAUGGAAUUCUAUACCAUAGUUCUUACAAAGAGCUUAACUUUCUAAGUGAGCUUGGGUAGAAGAACUAUCUAUAAGGCCUCUAUAGGCAUGCUAAAUAGCGAGUGUAACCUACUCAUUUACGGGACAUUCUUAGCUAAAUACUGCCAAAGGAUAUCUGAAGCUAAUUAUUUCAUUAAAACCCAUGCUCGUGAUAUUGUGCAUUUAAAAAUAAGAAGAAAGGCCUAAACAUGGUGCUUAUUAUAAAGCAAUAUACUUCCAUUAACAGAGAGAGGCCAAAAAGAGCAUAAGUUAAGGUCUCAGGUUUAUGGGGAGACCAUCAAGUUUUCUGCUAUUGUUUUAACCGAAGGAGUUUACAUAGAUUUAAAGCUAUUCAGUACUUAAGAAAUGCAGCCAUCAACAAGACUGUAUAAGCAUGCUAUUUAUGAAUAAUGUAAAUCCACAAAUUACUCGCAACAUAUUCGAUUAACUUUUGCAAUAACCUUAUAUUUGUCAUGAUUAUCUGGACAUGAAAGAACCUAAGCUCCUAUUGUUGGAAGGUAUACAGGAUACACCAACACUCUUACAGAAUGCACUCUCUUAUCUUUUCUUUUUUUAACCUUUGACAGAUAAAUAGUAAUCUGUCCACAAAUAUUACACUCCCAAAUUCUUGAGUUAAAAGAUUACUCAUUUUUACUCAUAAACGCUAUUGAAGUUCAUAAGAAAGAAGGAGCUUUUUCACAUAAUACGUUUAUCCUUAACAAGAAAUUAGAAAUGAAACAUCAGCUGAGCAUGGCAUUUACAAAAGAACAACGUUGAUCAUGUAUUAACAACAUAAAACACACAAAAUAGUUGUAUAGGCAAUUUAUCAAGCAUUUAUUAAUGGGUUUCUAGACAAACACGACUGGAAUACAAUUUCCCUAUAAACAUGACUUUUAUGUGUACAAAAUGAGUCCUAAAUCAUGAUCUCUACAUAGGAAGCGAACUACUAAUUUUCAAACAGAAAUAACUAUUUGCCUUUAACAUAAAAAAAUAAUAAUAACAGAAAGAGGAACUUAAUGUUAGAGGUCACUGACCUUUUGCAGGGCAGUAAACUGGGGUUUGCCAAUGACUACUCGAAUCUCCGCUUCAAACCUCCUUCACGACCCAAGCGACACAAUCAGACCGACAAAUCUUUGUCACGGCUGAAGGCCAACAAAGAUCUGAGAGGGGAGAAGAUGAGCAAUGAAACACGAUUUAAAGCUAUAUUUAUGGAGGAUAUGUAUGAAGUAGAAGGUAUUUCGAAAGUUUGGAGGGGAGUAGCGGCGACUAUGAGCUGGUCCGAAAUUAAGGCCAAAUGCAGGUAUUUAUAACAGCAGAUUAUAUCUAGGGCUUCUUGAGCGGGAAUUUUUCAGAUUUGAUUUUGAAAAGUAGCCGUUUGAAAUUGAAUCUCUGCCUUGGUGAUUCUCCCACAGAGAUUUCAAACGUAAUUUUGGUCUUUUAUGUUGACCAAAUUGAAGGAGAUCACAGAACGACAUGGAUCUUGAAAAGAUAAAGCAAGAGAGACAGAGAUUUACCCGAAUAUGGUACGACAAUACUCUACCAUGGCUGAAGAAUAGUUGAAUUGUUAGCCAAAAAUGGUCAUGGAGAUGGGGAAAGGCUCUGCCAUGGAAAGAGGGGGGAGAGAGCGAGAGAGAACUGUAACGUUAGUUGUGGUAAACGAGGGGGUGGGGUACCACAGGUCAAACGUCACUAGAAUUGAAAUAAAAAAUUC
rnacentral:lncRNA from 1 species